UGUUUCUCAAACGGUUGUCUGAGCACGUGUCAUUCUCCGACAACGGAUGUUAAAAAACAAAAAGUCGGAUUCGGAACUCGUCGCGCGACUCUGAGAAAUCCUACGGGAUUCCGACCUAGACACCGCCACCGCUUGGCAGUGCAUGGAGACAACUUGAAGAAGAUUUAUGCGUCGUCUUAUCUGACAGAAAAGGUUUUUUGAGGGGCAAAUCCACAUUUUCCUCGAAACCCUAAAUCAACAAAAUUAAAAAGACGAACAAGGACAUAUCUGAAAAGCUUCAAGAAGAAGAAAACGGGGGAGAAAGAAGCCAAAAAAACAAGACAGGAGAGCAAUUAAAGCUGAUAAACAAGUCAAGAAAAGAGGUGGUGGCUUUGAGAAAGUGUGUGCAGUCUUUCUCCUCUGCUUCAAAAAGUAGUGGAAGAGUCUGAAUUGCCUAGAAUUGACAAAAUGUAAAGCACAAGAUGAAAUGUGAAGACAGUGAUGAUUCUGUAUCAGUAGAUACUGAAAUUACAGAGGACGAAGAGAGAGGAGGAAAAGGAGGAGGAUUGGGAGCAAAAGGGUAAUACACGUGGAAGCAAGAACGAAAAGGAUCCAUCUGAUAAGAGGAGAAUUUUACGUGAUGAUAAGCUCAAAGAACUUUUCCAGGUGGACUCCUUCACUGGCUUUUAUAUCCCAAAGCUUCUGACCAUUCAUUUCAUUAAGAUGGAACAGUCAGUUGUAUUUCUGUAUAUAACAUAAGUCCUUAAAAAAAAGGCAAUUUUGCUUGGAGAUGAAAUUAAUGUUCUUGCUGUUGUCUGGUAAUUGUUACUUUCUAACAUGUCCUAGAAAUAGAAACAGCGUCUUUAAGGAAGUUGAUUAAAACUUUCUGCUGUUUCCCUUAAUGAUAUCAUAUACCUUUUGUCCCUUUGCCCCUUUGUUUUUUCCGCCUCCGCCCCUUUGUUUUUUCCCCCACAUCUUUUUCCUCGGUUUGGUUUUUCAGAAGUUUUCUUUUUGUUUACUUUUUUAUACCCUUUGGGUUGGGUGGGACUUGGGAGGGUAGGGUUAGGAAGAGAAAAGGUGUUAGGCCGGGGUUUACCUUUUUUACAUGAUCUGCAUAGGAGGGCACCGCUUGAAGUUUUUACUUGGACAAGUAGGAAAGUGGAAAGAUGAGAUAUGGGCAUGUAGAAAGCUGGUUUGUUGUUCAUUCUGGUCUUUCAGGAACCAACAAGUUCAAAAGAACUUUCAUAGCCUGCUUGAUUGUUUUGCAACAAAAUUUUUUUCCGAGAUGUGCAUUGUGUGUUUUGUGCUAUCCAACUGGUGGGCAUUAAGCAAUUGUCGGAACAUGGAACUAGUGUGUAGUUGAUAUCAUCAAAUUGGUUUGGUAAUAUUCUUUCCUAGGGUAUGCGCUCUUGUGUUCAUAUGUAUUGUUUUCAUAUUUUUUGUAUAGCUGGAGUCAGUUACAAGUUGCAAUGUUAUGUUUGCCAGAAACAUUUCUGUGUUAGUUUGGAAUAUCACGUGGACAUCAUUGUAUUAUUCACUUUUGUUUUUGUCAUGAAGGAUGAAAGUUGAGAACCAUGAAAAUGCAUGUCCUCAUCUGUGGAUAAUGUUGGAAUCUGGCGCAAGCUCUUUAUUUAUUCAUUUAUAUUUUUUGAUCACAAAAAAAUUUAGGAGCAGGAAGGUUAUUUCAUCUCUAAUGUCAAAAUAAACCAUCAACUAACAAGGAGAUCUACGAAUCUUUUGCGACUUUUCGGGCUUACAUAAGCUCUUUAUUUUUUGUCUGUAGUUUGAAAUAAUUGCUAAAUUGACUCCAUUGAAGAUCAAUAAGUAACUUUGUAGAUAUUUCUCUUUCU